GACGAACGCUGGCGGCGUGCUUAACACAUGCAAGUCGAACGGUAAGGCCUUCGGGUACACGAGUGGCGAACGGGUGAGUAACACGUGGGUGAUCUGCCCUGCACUUUGGGAUAAGCCUGGGAAACUGGGUCUAAUACCGAAUAGGACCACGCGCUUCAUGGCGUGUGGUGGAAAGCUUUUGCGGUGUGGGAUGGGCCCGCGGCCUAUCAGCUUGUUGGUGGGGUAAUGGCCUACCAAGGCGACGACGGGUAGCCGGCCUGAGAGGGUGACCGGCCACACUGGGACUGAGAUACGGCCCAGACUCCUACGGGAGGCAGCAGUGGGGAAUAUUGCACAAUGGGCGCAAGCCUGAUGCAGCGACGCCGCGUGAGGGAUGACGGCCUUCGGGUUGUAAACCUCUUUCAGUAGGGACGAAGCGCAAGUGACGGUACCUAUAGAAGAAGGACCGGCCAACUACGUGCCAGCCGCCGCAGUAA
rnacentral:rRNA from 1 species